rnacentral:rRNA from 1 species
UGACCUGCCCGGUGAAUUUUUUUAACGGCCGCGGUAUCUUGACCGUGCAAAGGUAGCCUAAUCAAUUGUUUUAUAAUUGAAGACUGGAAUGGAUGGUUGAAUGAAAUAUUAGCUGGCUUAUUUGGAUUUAUUAAAAUUUAACUUUUAAAUGAAGAGAUUUAGAUGUAUUUGAUAGACAAGAAGACCCUGUUGAGCUUUAAAUAAUUUUAGAGAUGGAUUUUAUUAUUUUAAAUAAAUAGAUUUUAGAUUUUUUUUGGUUGGGGCGACUGGGGAAUAAUAAAAGCUUCCUUUAACUUAAAUAAAUUGGUCGAUUUUGAUCCAAUAUUAUUGAUUAAAAAAAAUAGUUACCACAGGGAUAACAGCCUAAUCUUCUUUGAGAGUUCAUAUCGAAAAGAGGGGUUGUGACCUCGAUGUUGGACUAAAAUAUCCUAUAAAUGUACCUGUUUAUGAUGGUAGG